AUUGAACGCUGGCGGCAGGCCUAACACAUGCAAGUCGAACGAGUGGCGGACGGGUGAGUAAUGUCUGGGAAACUGCCUGAUGGAGGGGGAUAACUACGGGAAACGGUAGCUAAUACCGCAUACCAUCAGAUGUGCCCAGAUGGGUUUAGCUAGUUGGUGGGGUAACGGCUCACCAAGGCGACGAUCCCGAGCUGGUCUGAGAGGAUGACCGGCCACACUGGAACUGAGACACGGCCCAGACUCCUACGGGAGGCAGCAGGGGGGAAUAUGGGACAAUGGGCGAAAGCCUGAUGCAGCCAGGCCGCGUGUAUGAAGAAGGCCUUCGGGUUGUAAAGUACUUUCAGCGGGGAGGCGGUACCCGCAGAAGAAGCACCGGCUAACUCCGUGCCAGCAGCCGCGGUAAUAC
rnacentral:rRNA from 1 species